rnacentral:rRNA from 1 species
CUGCUGCCUCCCGUAGGAGUCUGGGCCGUGUCUCAGUCCCAAUGUGGCCGGUCACCCUCUCAGGUCGGCUACUGAUCGUCGGCUUGGUGGGCCGUUACCCCGCCAACUACCUAAUCAGACGCGGGCCCAUCUUACACCACCGGAGUUUUUACCACCGGACCAUGCAGUCCUGUGGUCUUAUGCGGUAUUAGCAGUCAUUUCUAACUGUUAUCCCCCUGUGUAAGGCAGGUUGCCCACGCGUUACUCACCCGUCCGCCG